GACGAACGCUGGCGGCGUGCUUAACACAUGCAAGUCGAACGGAAAGACCUGCUUUCCCUUGUGGAUUGCGGGUACUCGCGUGGCGAACGGGUGAGUAACACGUGAGUGAUCUGCCCCCAACUUGGGUAUAAGCCUGGGAAACUGGGUCUAAUUCCCGAUAGGACUGCAGGGUGGUGCCUGUGGUGGAAAACGAUUUUCUAGUGGUUGGGUGUGAGCUCGCGGCCUAUCGGCUUGUUGGUGGGGUAAUGGCCUACCAAGUCGGCGACGGGUAGCCGGCCUGAGAGGGUGGACACCCACAUUGAGACUGGGACACGGCUCAGACUGCUACGGGAGGUAGCAGUGGUGAAUAAAUCACAGUGAGCGGAAGCCUGAAGCAGCGACGCUGUGUAGGAGAUGACCGGCUUGGGGAUGUAAUCUCCUUUCGACCGCGAGGAAGGCACCUGGUUGGAAGGGUGGUGACGGUAGUGGUAGAAGAAGCACCGGCUAACUACGUG
rnacentral:rRNA from 1 species